AGCCAUCUCUUCUCUGUGUUGUCCCUCCAGGAGAUAUUAGGGUGGUUGAAGUCCCCUGUGAGGACGAGGGCUGUGAAUGUGAGGCUCAUGGUCUGCAUGAGUUUAGGUGUAGGUACUGAUAAUGUGCUCCACACUGCUGCAUGAAACGGGUAUAUGUCCACCUGGCGUUCUUGUCAAUUGUGUCUCUUCAGGCAUUGAGAGUGGUAAGAAUGAGGACUUAAGGGAGAAAUAACUGCCAUUCCUUUAUUUCCUCCUGCAGCUCCUUUGACUUCUUACUUGCCGUUUCUUGGUGGUUUCUAAUUCCCCUUAUUUGUUGUGUUUUUCCCUGUGCAGGAAGGAUGAGGAGGACAAAAAGAACUCCAUCACCAUCUUCUCAUUUUGUAUUGCACUUCAAAAUCUUUGCAUAUCAAACACUCUUCAUCUUCUGCUGGCAGUUCCUUAGGAUGGAAAAUCAUACGGCAAACUGCAACUGAGUUGAGGUAUCUCCUCCCUCCUACUCUCUUUGGAAGCGCCCUUGUCAUGUCCCAGAUGAAUGUGAAGUGCCUCAGCCUCCACCAGCAAACCUAGGAUGAUAAUGGUGCAGCUUCUGAGGCAGAGAAAUGUCUUCUAGCAGUCAGAAACCCAGUGAAGGACUCACUGAAGGAAACUGCCUCAAAUCCUGGAUUCCUGCAAAUUAGGAAGUGUGAACAAGGAAAAGACCUAUAGGUACCAGUUGUUCACACAUCAGUACGACAAUCAACACAGAACAGCCGUUUUGAAGUGAAGUGCUGCUGCUUCUGUGAGGCUGCGACUCCAGCCCCAGUGCCUUGGAAGUAACGCUGCCUUCAGCAGCCUGCCCGUGCUGCUCUUUGGGCCCAGCCACACCUUUGUGGCUCCAGUUGCAUUCAGUCAUCAGAGGCUAAAUCUGAUGCUGCUUCAGAUCCUGUCCUCUAUUAUAGUGAAGUUCUUACACCUUUAAGGAAAGCAUCAAUAAUCCUCCAGCUGAAGUAGCUGCAAUCUAUGCCCAAAUGCUUCUUACAGAUGCCAGAAAAGGGAUCGUCACAUAAAUUUGAGUUGAACUCCAGAAGGUUUAAAGAAGUUGCAGAACAGUAGGUAAGGGAUCUUUCUUUCUCCCUUUUAAUAAAAUCAAAUUCAACUCGG